rnacentral:rRNA from 1 species
AGCGCCGCCGCGGUAAUACAGAGGGUGCGAGCGUUAAUCGGAUUUACUGGGCGUAAAGCGUGCGUAGGCGGCUUCUUAAGUCGGAUGUGAAAUCCCUGAGCUUAACUUAGGAAUUGCAUUCGAUACUGGGAAGCUAGAGUAUGGGAGAGGAUGGUAGAAUUCCAGGUGUAGCGGUGAAAUGCGUAGAGAUCUGGAGGAAUACCGAUGGCGAAGGCAGCCAUCUGGCCUAAUACUGACGCUGAGGUACGAAAGCAUGGGGAGCAAACAGGAUUAGAUACCCGCGUAGUCCCUGUCUCUUAUACA